rnacentral:rRNA from 1 species
AGGGCAACAGCCCAGAUCGGCAGCCAAGGUCCCUAAAUGUAAGUUAUGUGGUAAAGGAUGUUGGAUUGCACAGACAACCAGGACGUUGGCUUAGAAGCAGCCACUCAUUCAAAGAGUGCGUAAUAGCUCACUGGUCGAGUGAUCCUGCGCCGAAGAUUUCCGGGGCUAAAACUUACUACCGAAGCUACGGCAUCAGUAU